GUUGAUUGCCAAUGAUGUGUAUGAAAUUAUCACCAAGGUAUUUAGGAUGUCCAAUUGUAGUUGAGUAGUUGCUUCUUGGUGUGCAUGAAAGAGGAUAGUACUGAGGGAAUCUAUGAUACAUUAAAGCAGUGUGCUGUCAUUAGUAAAUCUGCUGGAGGGAUUGGUGUUUCUGUUCACAACAUAUACUGUCUGUUAUAAAGAGAAUGUUCAAAAGGUCUAAAGACUGGAAUGUACUACCUCUGAACCUGAGCUGCAAAUGAUGCCAUCAAGUUCACUGUUGAUACCUCUACC
rnacentral:lncRNA from 1 species